CGCUCACUUGCCUGCCACUCAUCUCUUGCUGUGAGGCUGGUUCCUAACAGGCCACGGGACUGGUAUCGGUCCGUGGCCUGGGGGUUGGGGACCCCUGCUUUACAGGAAAGGCGGGAAGGUGAAGCAGUAAGAGUGUGGAUCUGGGACCCAGCCUGCCCACAUUCACAUCCCAGCACAUGGUCACUUGGACGAGUUAUGUGACCUCUCGGUGCUUCGGAGGUAAUAAAAGAACCUCUCCCACAGGACUUCAUGAGGAUGAAACAAAUUCAUAUAUGCUGGCGCUCUCACUACAGAGCCUGGCGGGAAAAAACAGUGGAAGCCAACGUGCUUUAGCACCGGAACUCACCCACGGCAACGCUCUCUCCAUCAACACCUCCCUCCAGCAUUUCCCUGGCACAGCUGAGCCUGGGACAGAAGCCUCCCCCAGGCCUGCCAAGUUCCUCCUAGCAGAGCCCCCGCAGAGUUCUGCCCAGAAGUAGCAUCUGAAACAGAGGGAGAGCUGUUGGGAGACUUCAUUUCCGGAUGUUUACAAGCCCUUGGGAAUAUGUGAAGGUCCUUCCUGCAGGACCAGUCCGGAACCGACUCUUAUUAAGCAUGCAAAGACAGAUGCCAAUAUUGAUUGCCCUAAGGGGUUUCUGGCAGAGGAAACAUACUUAUGGUUCAUGGUUUGCUGGGAGCUCUGAGCAAGCUCAAGCGCUGGCUGGCCAGGCCUGGCACGGCCUUAAGCACCUACUUGCUCCCGUAGACAGUAUGCUGUGGCAGCUGUUGGGAUAAGCCCCAGGGCACCUUGAGGUUUGGGUGCUUCUGGUGUCAAGCAUUUGAUGAAGGGUGCCUCGGGCCUAGGAAGGUUUUCAACCUUGCAAGCUCCAGACACCUAACUGCUGUACAGACAGGCGCAAGAAGUACAUGGACAGUCCAGCCUGCCGCUGCGUUUCCUUAGGCACGUGAUGGUCAUGGGCGGGAGACAGCACGUAGUGGGCGUUAGGUGCCCAACAAAGUGUGCGAAGUUCAAGUCCUGGCCCCGUUAGUGCCUCACUUGUGACCUGGGCGGGUGACUUCUCUCUUUAAGCCUGUAUUUUCUCAACCGUAAAUCAGGGGGCAGUGAUUGUUCCCAUCGCAUGGGAUCUAGGUGUUAGAUUAUCCAUGUAAAGUGAUAACAUAGUAGCUAAGUACCCGAUACAUCUUGGACAUUUUUAGUAUUAUUAUCAUUAUUAUUGACACAUCUGAGAGGAACAGCCCAACAAAGCCCAAGGAAAUGUCCCUUCACAGCCAUAGCCCAUUUGAUGGACAGGAUCUGGAAGCAAGGCUUGUCAAAAUGAAAACGAAAGCAGAUUGAAGCAACUGCUGUGUUGAUGGCAAUUCUCUAUCUUCUCAAGAACAGCAUGAAGAUUUGUUUUUUUUUCUGAUCAUAAGGUGCAUAAAUGCAAGAAACUUCUCUCCUUAGAGAAAUUCACCAGAUGGAAGUUCUUUCCCAAGGAAUUUCAUAAUCUAUCAAUGUAGCACAAACGGGGUCAGGUGUUAACCCUGUAUCAACUGUCAUCACAUUCUUGAUGGCCCUGAAGGCCCAGUCAGCCAGAGUUUCACUGAUGUUUUAUUAGCUACAGGAAUUGCAUUUCAGAACAUGUUUUGAAGGGAAAUGUCAUGAGCUUAUCUUUCCAGGGACCAAGGCAGCAGUGAAAGAAUCAGCUCAUGACUCGUGAUACAGCCUUCAUCUAAGUGCAUUUCCCUCUGCUACUGACGUGCUCCUGGAGGAGUUUUGGGAAAGAGUGUGAGCAUUCAUCCCUACUACAUCAGGAAAACUCAGCACACCUGUAAUUUCAGUAGCAACAGCAGCUUGCAGUUGCUAAAGUGACGGAAAUGUUUGUGUUGGCCUCUCCAUGCAGUUUGGAAAUAGCAAAAAGUGGAGGAGUUGCUUCUGGGUACCAAAAAUAAAGUUACAAGCCUGUGAAAAUGAAUCCCUGUGACUUAAUGAAAUCUGUGGCUUAAAAGUGUGUUUGCUAAGAAAACUGAAGUUAGAUGCCUCCUUUAAACAGAAUGAAAGCGGGUAAACGGAUGAAUAAAUGAAUGA